UCUACUUGGAGGUUGUGCCCUUGAGGCGUGGCUUCCGGAGCUAACGCGUUAAGUAGACCGCCUGGGGAGUACGGCCGCAAGGUUAAAACUCAAAUGAAUUGACGGGGGCCCGCACAAGCGGUGGAGCAUGUGGUUUAAUUCGAUGCAACGCGAAGAACCUUACCUGGUCUUGACAUCCACAGAAGAAUCCAGAGAUGGAUUUGUGCCUUCGGGAACUGUGAGACAGGUGCUGCAUGGCUGUCGUCAGCUCGUGUUGUGAAAUGUUGGGUUAAGUCCCGCAACGAGCGCAACCCUUAUCCUUUGUUGCCAGCGGUUAGGCCGGGAACUCAAAGGAGACUGCCAGUGAUAAACUGGAGGAAGGUGGGGAUGACGUCAAGUCAUCAUGGCCCUUACGACCAGGGCUACACACGUGCUACAAUGGCGCAUACAAAGAGAAGCGACCUCGCGAGAGCAAGCGGACCUCAUAAAGUGCGUCGUAGUCCGGAUUGGAGUCUGCAACUCGACUCCAUGAAGUCGGAAUCGCUAGUAAUCGUGGAUCAGAAUGCCACGGUGAAUACGUUCCCGGGCCUUGUACACACCGCCCGUCACACCAUGGGAGUGGGUUGCAAAAGAAGUAGGUAGCUUAACCUUCGGGAGGGCGCUUACCACUUUGUGAUUCAUGACUGGGGUGAAGUCGUAACAAGGUAACCGUAGGGGAACCUGCGGUUGGA
rnacentral:rRNA from 1 species